rnacentral:lncRNA from 10 species
CCGAGAUUGCGCCACUGCAGUCCGCAGUCCGGCCUGGGCGACAGAGCGAGACUCCGUCUCAAAAAAAAGAAAAAAAAAAUACUGACUAAUAACAAUAUGGAAACCAGUGAUUACUAUAUAUGAUUAAGAUAAAUUUUACAAAGUUGCUUAGAUAGAAAGCAACACAGGAGAUUCACUCAUUUCUCUGGGUAUCUCCCAUGUAUACAUGCAGUAUAUGUGCUAUUAAAAAAGUAAUGAUCAGCAUAAAAUGCUUAAUAGGCAUCAUGCGUGGAACAUAAUUAACAGAAUUUUUAGGCUGUGUUUUUUUGGUUUUCAGAAAAACUGUCAGAAAACUACUGCAUUUAAAACUAUACUAUAUAGCCAUAAAUGGAAUAUUAUUUGGCAAUAAAAAGGAAUAAAGCACUGAUACCAUGUUAAAACAUGGAUGAACCUCAAAAACAUUAUGCAGGUCACAUUGACAAGACGAAAAAUGGUUGAGCCAGAUGGCCUUCUAUACUGGGAGAGAUUCUUGGUUAUGCAGCACAAGAAUCACAGAUAUGGCUGAUCCUAUCACAAAUGUGCCUUGCCAGACAUAAAGAGAUACUUUUUCCCUUCAGAAGAGUGAACAAGGACCAAGACAGAUGGUUUAAAGUAAAAGAAAAAGAAACAGGUACAAACUUGUCACAGACAAUGAGGAACUCUACACAUGACAAGAGUCAAUUCACAAAGUUAACACCCAGAAUAUGAACCUCAAGCUGGGGAUCACUUGAAACCAUACAAGGCCACCAAGGAUAGGUUCCCACCUUGGACCACACAAGAUCGCCAACCUGAAACUUAACACCAGUGGACACUUCCGUUGUUGGAACAGAAGAUAGUAUUGGCUGAACCUACAGGAAAGGGUCAAAAAACUUCAUCAGAAAUUCAAAAAAAGAAACUAUGUAUAAAGUACAUUAAAAAUGCUAACAAUGUAAUUUUAUCUUCAGUUAUACUUUGAUACAGGAAAGUGUCAAAAAACAUCAGAAAUUCAAAAAAAGAAACUAGGUAUAAAGUACAUUAAAAAUGCUAACAAUGUAAUUUUAUCUUCAAUUAUACUUUGAUACAGGAAAGGGUCAAAAAACAUCAGAAAUUCAAAAAAAGAAACUAGAUAUAAAGUACAUUAAAAAUGCUAACAAUGUAAUUUUAUCUUCAAUUAUACUUUGAUACAGGAAAGGGUCAAAAAACAUCAGAAAUUCAAAAAAAGAAACUAUGUAUAAAGUACAUUAAAAGUGCUAACAAUGUAAAUUUAUCUUCAAUUAUACUUUUCUCUGAUGCCUCCUAUCUAAAACUAGCAAAAGGGAAGGAGGAAAAAUAUUAAUAAGCCCCACCCCAAAUACUGAAGAUAGGAUUGAUGGUUUCUGUUGCCAAAUUAUUAACAAGGCAUGUUAAGAAUACACAUGAUCGGCCAGGCGCGGUGGCUCACGCCUGUAAUCCCAGCACUUUGGGAGGGUGAGGAGGGCAGAUCACAAGGUCAGGAGAUCGAGACCAGCCUGGCCAACACAGUGAAACCCCGUCUCUACUAAAAAUACAAAAAUUAGCUGGGUAUGGUGGCACGUGCCUGUCAUCCCAGCUAUUCGGCAAGCUGAGGCAGGACAAUCGCUUGAACCCAGGAGGCAGAGGUUGCAGUGAGUCGAGAUUGCGCCACUGCACUCCAGCCUGGGCAACAGAGUGAGACUCCGUCUCAAAAAGAAAAAAAAAAAAAAUACACAUGAUCAAUUGAAAAAAAAACAGGUCAUAGUUUUGAAAAGGAAAAUGAUUCACUGAAAAUAUCCACCUAUCAAACCAGCUCCAAGACUUAUUUCAAUAUAAUUUCUGAAAUUAAGAAGCGUAGUACCAAUACAAUUGUGUUGCAAUUCAAUCACUGUGUUUCACCUUCUUCCACCAUAUUUGGUUAGACAGUAUUCAGUAAAACAACUUACUGGGGCUUCCUCUUUUAGUACUGGUUCUUCCCUUGGUUUUUCUGAUACAGUGUCAACCCUCUCAUUUGGUCUCUAGGUGAAAAGGUAUAGGUAAGUAGAAUAAAAUGGCAUUAAAUAAACAAACAAACAAAAAACAGUGACAUACAUAAAAAGAAUCAAAGAAAACUAAAUAAAGAGAAUAAAGGGCAUUUAUUAACUGAACAAUGUAAGGAGUAAGAAUACAACUUACUCAAUACCUAAUGCUGUCUCAACAUUCAUUUUCCACCCCAUAUCAUAGCUUUAUCUCCUUUUUCUUAUUUUGUUACUUUUAAAACUUAAUUUCUAGGCCGGGUGCAGUAGCUCAUGCCUGUAAUCCCAGCAUUUUGGGAGGCUAAGGCAGGCAGAUCACAAGGUCAGGAGUUCAAGACCAGCUUGGCCAGCAUGGUGAAACCCCG